rnacentral:lncRNA from 1 species
UGGAACAAAUCGUUACUAUACGGAAAAUAAAUUACUCAUUUUUAUGUUAUCUGGGUUAAACAGUGUGAUCUGGGUGCUACUUCAUGUGCUAUUUUAUCAUAUUCACGCUGUCCGCCGGCAUGCAUAAAUAAUAUAAUGGGGUAGUUAAAUGAAUAUAUUUUUGCAUUUAGCUGUAAAAUAGCUUAAUUAACGUAGCAUAAUAUUAUUGUAUAACUGAAAUUAUUUCUGAUAACAAUAAGUACAAUUUUAUUAACUAGUCCAUACAUGCUCGUGAUUACAUAUAAAACGUAUUUAUAAGAAAGUGAGAUUGCCAUAAGUAUUUUAUAGUUUACUAUAGUGAAUACAUGUUCGUGAUUACAUAUAAGUAACUAAGAAGAUCUCGGCUAAAUUUAAGUUUAAGGUACUUAACAAAAUGUCAAUCCAAGUGUCUUAUGCUUGCUUGCAAUAUUUAGACGAUAAACUGAAAUAUUAUUAUGCACCGAUAGAGACCAUAUUUUAUAAGAAGAAUGAUCAGACUCCUAUCGUUGCAAAAGAUUUACUAGAUUUUGAUAAGACACACAAAUACUAUGUUUUAUGGUUAAAAGGUAAAAAUGAAGUACCUAUUUCUGGUAAAAGAGAUGCUGAAUCAGAAUUUUAUGCUGCCUAUAUCAUAUGUCUAGGAGAAAUGGAAGAUGAUGCUAGACUCAGAGCAACAAAUAAAUGCAAGCGAUUAAUUGUUCCAAAAAACUAACUUCCAGUGAGUCUAAUGAAAGUUUAUUUGAAAGCCGAGCGUUAAAACCGAAAACUGGAAAAAUUAUUAAAAAUAUAGUACAAAAAGUAAACAGUCAACGAACAAUUGAGAAGUAUAAACAAUUAACUCUCAUGAAUAACAGAAAACCAUUAUUUCUUGGUACCAGUACAAAUGAGUAUCCAACAGAAAAUAAUGCAAGGGAUGUUCAAAUCGAUUCUAAUUGUAGACGUCGUAUUGACGCAUACACAAUUUAAAGGUGACGAAAACAACGAAUCUACCUGAAGUUAGAGUAGUUUUACAAGAUAUUUGUAAGACCAAUAGAGGAGGAGAAUCUGAUUCUGCUGUCCCGAUGCUUCAACAAUACAAACCUAAGCUUUACAGAAAGUACAAAAAAGCAGGAUACAAUUUAGACUCUGAUAUUCCAGAAUCACACAAACGAUACGACAUUGUUAGGAAUAAGGUAUACCUAGGUGAAAGCAGGACAGUAGGACAAAACUCAUGGCGGAUCAUUAGAUCUAAACGAAAGACUGCAUUCUUAAGAGACUUGGGAACUGUUUUACGGACCAAAAAAGUGAUAGCUCUAAGAAGCUUAGAUUUAUGUAAAUUAAAACAAAAAACUUUUGAAACAAAGCCCAUAGAACUAUAUUCACUUAGAAAAAUAAAUGAAUAAUCUAAGUUUGUAUAGCGAUUUCCUAGACACCUCUAAUAGGUAUAGACAAUUACCACAAGAAACCAAAGACACUCUUAUAAAGAAUGCGACAGAAAGUUUAAGCUUUCAUUCAAGAGAUGAGCGGAAAAAUCAAGAUGAACCAAAUAAUUAACCUUGAAAACUUUAAUGUUUAGAUUACAGUUAAUUUAAUUUUGCGUUUUAAUUUAACAGUUUGCGUUUAUAAGUUUAUAAAUUUAUAACUGAAUCAUAAAAGAAUUGUUAUGUUGGUAUUACAUCUUAUGUAAAACUUAGUUUUGAAAACUAAAAACAAAACGUUAUGUUCAAAUUACAUUUUAUGAAAAUCUCGCUAUGAAAAAAUGAAAAUAAAUAUUUUUCUACUUA